UUAUGGCAUCAAAGUAGGCCCCACCCUGUCCCCCCCCUGCUCCCCUGGAAGUCCCCCUUGAUCCCCACCCACCUCACAUCAGCUACAAACCCCAGGCCCUCUUCUCCACUCUGCCACCACACAGGCUCACAGAAAAGACCAGAGAUUGUGACCCAGCGUCCCCCACACAGCUGGGGCUCGAGAAAGGUGAGGAAAGCGAAGUUCAGAGUGGCCUGCACAAGGCAAUGUGGUUAGGAAGGCGCUGAGCUGGGCUCCAGGGCCUUGCGUUUCACGCUCCAGGAAGCAGGACAACGGGCCUCCCAGGAUCAGCUGAAUCAGUUAGGACACUUCCAGCCACCUACUAAUCCCGAUUCCAGGUAUUUAAAAAGGAUGACCGGACCUUGGAAAGACUGGAAAGACGUCUGAAAUACAUCCGGAAGGAGAUGACACAUUAUCUUUCUUACUGAAGUAAAGAUCAUCCUCAUACAUUUCAAUCCUGAUAGAAAACUUCACUGUGGGUUAUCAAGUGGGAGAAAGGGUCAGUAGAGAUACUCGGCACCAGGGCGUAUUGGUUUCGAUACUUGCAUUUCAAUUUAUCAGAAGGGCUGGGUUAAUCUUGCUUUCACAGUAAACAGAGUGAGCACUUCACACCAAUUGUAGAGGAGUUUAGAUGCCAAAGGACAGACAACAACCCUUGGAGGGGGGAGAGAGCAUCCACCUGCAAAGGACACAGCUAUGCAGGGCUCAUAUCAGGUUAAAGGCUAUGCGAACGUAAGCCCUGGCCUUCUCCAGCAUCAGGAGGAUCCAUGCACAGAUCCAGUCGCACCCACAUCCUUAAGAUUCUCCUAGAGCCUGAUGCUGGUGCUUGUCACUGGGUUUGCAAAGAGAAACACAGCAAAAGAUAGAUAACAUGGUACUUCCCCAAUGGGACAUUAACCUGCCCUUGCCCUUGCAUCUCUCCCCAGUACCUUUUCCACCACCCUCUCAAAGAAUCUUCCCUUGGAAUAAAGUGCCAUAUUCUACAGGAUUCUCAGCAGUCCAUUCAGAAUGAGAUGGUAAAGAAAUAGUGUCUCUCUGCCCAAUGACUCGUACCAGGUCCGGAUGGGUAGAUAUGGGGUAAUCUCUGGCAUGAUAAGCUUUCUGUGGUUACAAGUGAGCACAAGCAAAAGUUCUGUAGCUUGAGUUUACUCUAACAAAACUGUUGUCCUUUUUUUUAGGACAAAACAAUAGUUUUGUUGUCCUUUUAUCCUAAAAAAAAAUAUACCAACCAGCAAGUCGUUAUUUGUGUGUGCUUGAGAAAUGGGUCCAGCAUAGAUGUAACCACUUGUGUAUCUUAGAUUCUAGGACCUGAAGGGUUAGGAGGGCAAAUAAUAGUUAAAAUAAAAAUUCUUAGGUUUAGGGAUGCCCGGGGGGCUCAGUCAGUUAAGCGUCUGCCUUCAGCUCAGGUCAUGAUCCCAGGG